rnacentral:misc_RNA from 1 species
GAUGAAGAACGCAGCGAAAUGCGAUAAGUAAUGUGAAUUGCAGAAUUCAGUGAGUCAUCGAAUCUUUGAACGCACAUUGCGCCCGCCAGUAUUCUGGCGGGCAUGCCUGUUCGAGCGUCAUUUCAACCAUCAAGCCCCCGGCUUGUGUUGGGGACCUGCGGCUGCCGCAGGCCCUGAAAAGCAGUGGCGGGCUCGCUGUCACACCGAGCGUAGUAGCAUACAUCUCGCUCUGGGCGUGCUGCGGGUUCCGGCCGUUAAACCACCUUCAUAACCCAAGGUUGACCUCGGAUCAGGUAGGAAGACCCGCUGAACUUAAGCAUAUCAAUAAGCGGAGGA